CUUGACCGAGCCGAGCCAGAGCGGUUCGCCGGUACGGCCCGCGCCGUACGUGGCCAGCAGCGCGUUCGCCUC
rnacentral:antisense_RNA from 1 species